rnacentral:rRNA from 1 species
UACGGGGGGGGCAAGCGUUGUUCGGAAUUACUGGGCGUAAAGGGCUCGUAGGCGGCCAACUAAGUCAGACGUGAAAUCCCUCGGCUUAACCGGGGAACUGCGUCUGAUACUGGAUGGCUUGAGAUUGGGAGAGGGAUGCGGAAUUCCAGGUGUAGCGGUGAAAUGCGUAGAUAUCUGGAGGAAUCCCGGUGGUGUAGACGGCUCUCUGGACCGCCACUGACGCUGAGACACGAAAGCGUGGGUAGCAAACAGG